UACCAACCCUCCGAGUGGUAGGGAUGAUUAUUUGGCUUAAAGCGUCCGUAGCUGGCUUGAAAAAUCCUCCGUUAAAUCCAGCGUCUAAGCGUUGGAAAGCGGAAGAUACUAUCAAGCUAGGAGGCGGAAGAGGCCGACGGUAUUUCUAGGGGAGGGGUGAAAUCCUAUAAUCCUAGGAGGACCACCAGUGGCGAAGGCGGUCGGCCAGAACGCACUCGACGGUGAGGGACGAAAGCUGGGGGAGCGAACCGGAUUAGAUACCCGGGUAGUCCCAGCAGUAAACUAUGCAGGCUAGGUGUUGGGGCGGCUACGAGCCGCUUCGGUGCCGCAGGUAAACCGUUAAGCUUGCCGCCUGGGGAGUACGACCGCAAGGUUGAAACUUAAAGGAAUUGGCGGGGGAGCACUACAAGGGGUGAAGGCUGCGGUUU
rnacentral:rRNA from 1 species